GUGAAUGAUAAACAUGCUGUGGUGUCUUCGCUUCGCUCGGCAAGGCCCUUGCUUAAAUCACAUCCUAAACACUGUGAACUGUAAGACGUAUGAUGAGGUCUUUGGCCAAGUCAUCGUCUGCCCAUUUUUAACAAACAAUUAAUGUAACAAACGUAGUCUUAUUAUAACCUAAUA
rnacentral:misc_RNA from 1 species